ACAUCCAGCGAACUUGGCAGAGAUGCCUUGGUGCCUUCGGGAACGCUGCGACAGGUGCUGCAUGGCUGUCGUCAGCUCGUGUUGUGAAAUGUUGGGUUAAGUCCCGNAACGAGCGCAACCCUUAUCCUUUGUUGCCAGCGAUUCGGUCGGGAACUCAAAGGAGACUGCCGGUGAUAAACCGGAGGAAGGUGGGGAUGACGUCAAGUCAUCAUGGCCCUUACGAGUAGGGCUACACACGUGCUACAAUGGCGCAUAUAAAGAGAAGCGACCUCGCGAGAGCAAGCGGACCUCAUAAAGUGCGUCGUAGUCCGGAUCGGAGUCUGCAACUCGACUCCGUGAAGUCGGAAUCGCUAGUAAUCGUGGAUCAGAAUGCCACGGUGAAUACGUUCCCGGGCCUUGUACACACCGCCCGUCACACCAUGGGAGUGGGUUGCAAAAGAAGUAGGUAGCUUAACCUUCGGGAGGGCGCUUACCACUUUGUGAUUCAUGACUGGGGUGAAGUCGUAACAAGGUAAGCGUAGCGAG
rnacentral:rRNA from 1 species